GAAGUGCAGUCAUGAUCUUCUUUUCCCAAGCCCUGGGAGUCACAUCUCCUCAUUAUAGCAAGCCUCAGGAAGUGAUGUAACUCAGUCAGGAAGCAGCUUUCUUUCAAUUUCAGCUCUUAUGAAGUGCAGUCAUGAUCUUCUUUUCCCAGGCCCUGGCAGUCACAUCUCCUGCUUCCAGUUCUGAGCACAUCAUUUGUUCAUUUCGAUGCUGCCCCAUGGUCAUCAACAAGCAAGUACAUACAAGCAUGAACCUCGACAGAAAAUCAUACAAGCAUGAACCUUGACAGAAAAUCA